rnacentral:rRNA from 1 species
AUUGAACGCUGGCGGCAAGCCUAAUACAUGCAAGUCGAACGAGUGGCGGACGGGUGAGUAAUGUCUGGGAAACUGCCUGAUGGAGGGGGAUAACUACGGGAAACGGUAGCUAAUCCCGCAUACCAUCGGAUGUGCCCAGAUGGGAUUAGCUAGUAGGUGGGGUAAAGGCUCACCUAGGCGACGAUCCCUAGCUGGUCUGAGAGGAUGACCAGCCACACUGGAACUGAGACACGGUCCAGACUCCUACGGGAGGCAGCAGUGGGGAAUAUUGCACAAUGGGCGCAAGCCUGAUGCAGCAAUGCCGCGUGUAUGAAGAAGGCCUUCGGGUUGUAAAGUACUUUCAGCGGGGAGGCGUUACCCGAAGAAGAAGCACCGGCUAACUCCGUGCCAGCCGCCGCGGUAAUAC